UAGGGAAUCUUCCACAAUGGGCGAAAGCCUGAUGGAGCAACGCCGCGUGUGUGAUGAAGGGUUUCGGCUCGUAAAACACUGUUGUAAGAGAAGAAUGACAUUGAGAGUAACUGCUCAAUGUGUGACGGUAUCUUACCAGAAAGGAACGGCUAAAUACGUGCCAA
rnacentral:rRNA from 1 species